AGAGUUUGAUCAUGGCUCAGGAUGAACGCUAGCGGCAGGCCUAAUACAUGCAAGUCGAGGGGCAGCACGGCAGCAAUGCUGGUGGCGACCGGCGGACGGGUGCGUAACGCGUAUGGAACUUGUCCGGAUCUCUGGAAUAGCCCCCGGAAACGGGGAUUAAUGCCGGAUGGCGCGCUGGUGUGGCAUCACAUCAUCGCUAAAGCUCAGGCGGAUCCGGGUGGCCAUGCGUUCGAUUAGCUAGUUGGCGGGGUAACGGCCCACCAAGGCGACGAUCGAUAGGGGUCCUGAGAGGGAGGUCCCCCACACUGGUACUGAGACACGGGCCAGACUCCUACGGGAGGCAGCAGUAGGGAAUAUUGGGCAAUGGGGGCAACCCUGACCCAGCCAUGCCGCGUGCAGGAGGAAGGCCCUCUGGGUUGUAAACUGCUUUUGGGAGGGGACAAAAUACCGGUGCGCCGGGGAUUGAGUGUACCUCCAGAAUAAGCACCGGCUAACUCCGUGCCAGCAGCCGCGGUAAUACGGAGGGUGCGAGCGUUGUCCGGAUUUAUUGGGUUUAAAGGGUGCGUAGGCGGCCCCGUAAGUCGGCGGUGAAACCCACGGGCUCAACCCGUGGCGUGCCGACGAUACUGCGGGGCUUGGGUCGUCUCUGGGCGGGCGGAAUGGAAGGUAUAGCGGUGAAAUGCAUAGAUAUCUACCAGAACGCCGAUAGCGAAGGCAGCUCGCUGGGGACGUACCGACGCUGAGGCACGAUAGCGUGGGGAUCGAACAGGAUUAGAUACCCUGGUAGUCCACGCCGUAAACGAUGGCCACUCGGUGUAGGCACUUGUGCCUGCGCCCAAGCGAAAGCGUUAAGUGGCCCACCUGGGGAGUACGCCGGCAACGGUGAAACUCAAAUGAAUUGACGG
rnacentral:rRNA from 1 species